CACGUAGGGUGCAAGCGUUGUCCGGAUUCAUUGGGCGUAAAGGGCUAGUAGGCGGCUUCGCAAGUCGGGUGUGAAAACUUCAGGCUCAACCUGGAGCGGCCAUCCGAUACUGCUAUGGCUAGAGUCCGGUAGGGGACCACGGAAUUCCUGGUGUAGCGGUGAAAUGCGCAGAUAUCGGGAGGAACACCGGUGGCGAAGGCGGGUCUCUGGGCAAUAACUGACGCUGAGGCGCGAAAGCCAGGGGAGCAAACGGG
rnacentral:rRNA from 1 species